AACAGCACGGAGAAUUCCAGAGCUAAUGGGGCUCUGCUUUACGGAUUAGGAAACUGAGCCCAGAAGGGCAGUCCGGGAGCUGGCUGGUGGAGACAGGCUGCUCUCAGGUCUCGUCUCCAUCGCCUCCCGGCCCUGCAGUACAGCUGCAGUCUCUCUGCAAUAUCGGCUCCUCACAUAUCUGUGCAGCAGCCCAGAGAUUUUUUUUUUUUUAAUAUCUUCAUUUUCUUGAAGUGUUUUGCGUUGACUUCAACCGGGUGGGGAGAUGAUGGAUCUCAGGGGCUUUGAUCCUGUUCUCAUAUCCUAAAUACUGUAGGGAAUCGGGAUAGGGAAACCACGUCCUCAGAUUGAGGGAAGGAGAUGAGUGGAGGGAGACCUGAGCCGUGGGGUCUUUGGCCUCCCCCAGGGCAAGCCACCUGGAAGAACUGCGCUUGAGAAAGUCUCCACGUUGUCCAGGGGGCAGCCAGGUGCAGACCUUGGCCAGGGACGGGUCAGCGUGGCAGAAACGACGUGGGCUCGCCUGAGGCCUCCAAGGAAAUUCGCAAAACGACACUAAACCUCACCAACUUUGAAAAUGUCCUUGAGCGCAUGGAGGGAGAAAGGUGUUUCCAUCAAUUCACCCAGCUUUCAAGUAAACAGGAAGUUUACCUGUGGGCUCAAGUCACACUCAGCAAGGAGCCCAGGAGCAAUUAACACCUACAAACGGGCUGGAGCGGGCGGGGCGGAGGCAGGCAGAGGAGAGAGGGGCCAAGAACCACCUUGGAAAAUUCUGUUGUUACAAAAAAGAAUCAAACCCAAGCUUUGAGAUACUUUCUGAAAAGAAACUGCAGCCAGGAGAAAUCUUUGCUUUGGAAAGGCAUUCACAUUAUAGACAAUUUUAACAUACAAACUGAACUGUAAAUAAAGGUUAAUUAUUCACCGAGUCCCUAGGGCCUCACAGGCACCUUGUGGUUCAGCAUGCAAAUUCUACACCUCACAACACAUGUAGAAGCUCAUUUUUUUCCCUUAAUGGUAAAUUAAUCUCUGUAUAGAAUACAAGAUUGCAGUUGAAUAAUUGUAUUUGAUACUAGAUUAACAGAUUUUAACAACAUGACAGUCUCACUUUCUGAGCAAUAAAAAAAAUUAAAGAUUGCUUGUUACCAAAGAAAAA